rnacentral:rRNA from 1 species
CCCUACGGGGGGCAGCAGUGGGGAAUGUUGCCCAAUGGGGGAAACCCUGAUGCAGCGACGCCGCGUGAGUGAAGAAGUAUUUCGGUAUGUAAAGCUCUAUCAGCAGGGAAGAUAAUGACGGUACCUGAGUAAGAAGCCCCGGCUAACUACGUGCCAGCAGCCGCGGUAAUACGUAGGGGGCAAGCGUUAUCCGGAUUUACUGGGUGUAAAGGGAGCGUAGGUGGCAUGGCAAGCCAGAAGUGAAAACCCGGGGCUUAACCCCGCGGAUUGCUUUUGGAACUGUCAGGCUGGAGUGCAGGAGGGGC